AGUCGAGGGGCAGCAUUUCAGUUUGCUUGCAAACUGGAGAUGGCGACCGGCGCACGGGUGAGUAACACGUAUCCAACCUGCCGAUAACUCGGGGAUAGCCUUUCGAAAGAAAGAUUAAUACCCGAUGGNAUAAUCAGACCGCAUGGUNUUAUUAUUAAAGAAUUUCGGUUAUCGAUGGGGAUGCGUUCCAUUAGGCAGUUGGUGAGGUAACGGCUCACCAAACCUUCGAUGGAUAGGGGUUCUGAGAGGAAGGUCCCCCACAUUGGAACUGAGACACGGUCCAAACUCCUACGGGAGGCAGCAGUGAGGAAUAUUGGUCAAUGGGCGCAGGCCUGAACCAGCCAAGUAGCGUGAAGGAUGACUGCCCUAUGGGUUGUAAACUUCUUUUAUAUGGGAAUAAAGUUUUCCACGUGUGGAAUUUUGUAUGUACCAUAUGAAUAAGGAUCGGCUAACUCCGUGCCAGCAGCCGCGGUAAUACGGAGGAUCCGAGCGUUAUCCGGAUUUAUUGGGUUUAAAGGGAGCGUAGGUGGACAGUUAAGUCAGUUGUGAAAGUUUGCGGCUCAACCGUAAAAUUGCAGUUGAUACUGGCUGUCUUGAGUACAGUAGAGGUGGGCGGAAUUCGUGGUGUAGCGGUGAAAUGCUUAGAUAUCACGAAGAACUCCGAUUGCGAAGGCAGCUCACUGGACUGCAACUGACACUGAUGCUCGAAAGUGUGGGUAUCAAACAGGAUUAGAUACCCUGGUAGUCCACACAGUAAACGAUGAAUACUCGCUGUUUGCGAUAUACAGUAAGCGGCCAAGCGAAAGCAUUAAGUAUUCCACCUGGGGAGUACGCCGGCAACGGUGAAACUCAAAGGAAUUGACGGGGGCCCGCACAAGCGGAGGAACAUGUGGUUUAAUUCGAUGAUACGCGAGGAACCUUACCCGGGCUUAAAUUGCAUUUGAAUAAUNUGGAAACAGGUUAGCCGCAAGGCAAAUGUGAAGGUGCUGCAUGGUUGUCGUCAGCUCGUGCCGUGAGGUGUCGGCUUAAGUGCCAUAACGAGCGCAACCCUUAUCUUUAGUUACUAACAGGUCAUGCUGAGGACUCUAGAGAGACUGCCGUCGUAAGAUGUGAGGAAGGUGGGGAUGACGUCAAAUCAGCACGGCCCUUACGUCCGGGGCUACACACGUGUUACAAUGGGGGGUACAGAAGGCAGCUACCUGGUGACAGGAUGCUAAUCCCAAAAGCCUCUCUCAGUUCGGAUCGAAGUCUGCAACCCGACUUCGUGAAGCUGGAUUCGCUAGUAAUCGCGCAUCAGCCAUGGCGCGGUGAAUACGUUCCCGGGCCUUGUACACANCGCCCGUCAAGCCAUGAAAGCCGGGGGUACCUGAAGUACGUAACCGCAAGGAG
rnacentral:rRNA from 1 species